ACACACCAAACCAAGCAUCAAAAGUUCACACUUCAAGCAUUGACUCAACUUGCGGUACUAAUGUUCUCUUCCUAUUAAGGGCAAAGAUCCUAAAACUCCUAUUCCAAUGACGCCAGAAGGUGGUAAGAAAAGGUUCUAAAAGCAUAUCAAGUAAGAGUGGGGAUGAGGAUAAGUCUUUAAAAUAAGCAACAUGGUGGAGAUGAAUAGAAAUGAAGAGGAUAUAGUGUAGAGGAAAAUAUCAAGGUUUAUAGAACAAGGAUUUUGUAGCAAUUUCAAAACCUUAAGACGACCAAUUUCUAACUAGGAUUGCGUCCUACAGUCAACAAAGCUCUGAUACCAAUUUGCCACACCCAUAUUUUAAGAACAAAAUAGGAUGCAUAAAAGACUCAUAUGUGCCCCAGAAACAGUCGCACACAUAAGUAGACAAAUCUCAAAUGUAUCAUUGCAGUGUUUAUUACAUAGCGGAAUAUAAUAUAUCACAUAGUCUCAUACAAAGAUAAUAGCAUAAAGUAAACAACGCUCUCGACGGAAGCUCCACACAGGGACACUGUUGACUGGUUGACUCCAAACCUAAUACUCAUAGCGAUAGUCCUCAUUCCAAUCAUCAUCAUUAGCAUAAUCUGAGGUGUUGGGAAAUUUGCAAGAGUGAGGCUCAAAUAGCUUACACUGGUUUGACUGCAUUUAGCUUUUAAUAGUGGGCACCACAUUCAUAAUUAAAUAGCAAAUGUCAAGGUAGCAUAAAUUAGACGCGCGGGGCCGAACUGUCAGCCAGAGAGAGGGAAUGCACGCGCGGCUUGGCCUCUGGGCUGUUCCCGAGUCGCGAGAGGAGAUGGGCCACGCUAGAGGGGGAAGAGAAGGGAGAGAGGGGAGCUGGGCCGGGGAAAGGGAUUGGGCCCAGGGGGUUGGCUGGGGUUUACUUUUCUUUUUUUUCUUUUAUUUUCCAUAGCAUUUUCACAAGUGAAUUUGAAUCCUUUUACAAUAAUUAGACCACAACACAUAGCACAAAAAUAAUUAUGCUCCAGCAUGAAUGCACAAACAUGUUUCUAAUCUUAUGAUAAAUUUUAAUUUUGACCAAAAAUAAUUUAAGUGCUAAAUUUAAAUGUGCACAAAAAUGCUUAAUUAAUUCAAAUUAAUCCCUAUUAAUUUAAAACAGAUUUUUGGGUGUUACAUGCCACUCUUGGUUAAACGGUUCUUGACUUGCUUGAUCUUGCGCGGAUGGUCAGUAAAGAGUGAGAACUCUGCGUAGUGGUUGUGUUCUUCGGGACUCUGGACUCCAUCUACUCCCACGAUCGUCUGCUUUCCAGACACAACCACAUGCCUCUUCGGGUCUUUGGGCUUUGCAUAGUAGGCUACCUGCGCGACACGGCUUGUAACACUCCAAGUGUUAGCUUGCAUGAUAACCAUGAGCAUUGCAUUAACAUAAGCAUCAUCAUGCUCACUCAUAAGCAUCUAUCAUGAUCACAUGUCAUCUUAUGCAUACCAUGUAUGGUUGAAUUGCUUGUGUGAAGUGAAUUGAGUGACUAUAAGGGGUAACCAAUGCAAACAAUUGUACAUUGUCUUCCAAAAUACUUCAAUCAUGUUUAGAAUAUCAUUUGGAACAAAGUUCAUGUUGAAGGUUUUGGCCAAAAAUGCCCCUAGGUUAAGGUUAAACCUAGAAUGGCUUAAUUGACCUCCUAGACCCCAUUUCAAAGAUGUUUUGUGAAACUGGUGUUAGAUACCUUGCAUGUCUUUGACACCUGAAACAAAGUUGUAGAUAAUUUCAUAAGCUACAAAAGUUAUGUUGAUGACUUUUUAUGAAAAAGCAUGGAACACUUCUAAAAUUCACUCACAAGCCAAAAAUCAGGGCUGAUUUCACACUUAGCCAAAUUUGGCUAAGUGAUGGAUCACGCAGUUUCGGCCAAGGGUUGUUUGGAGC
rnacentral:lncRNA from 1 species